rnacentral:lncRNA from 13 species
AUGGUGAAAGGAGAAGCAAACAUCCUUCUUCACAUCGUGGCAGCAUGGAGAAGUGCAAAAGGGGAAAAGCCCCUUAUAAAACCAUCAGAUCUCAUGAAAACUCACUCACUAUCACGAGAACAGCAUGGAGGUAAAAUAAUUCAACAGAAACUUCAAUAUUUCUUAAGAACAACGUAUGAAGCAACACCAGAGUGCCACCAAUCACAGAAGGCCCCUUCCUCAGACUCAAUUCUGUCAAAACCAAGCUCUCCAAAGAAGACUUCCUCUGGGUGUGCCUGGGAAAAGACUAAUUAUCUGAAAACACUGGCCAUGAGAAUGAAUGCCUUGGUCUCAUCUGAUCAAAGAAGACAGAGCUCUUAAUGUACUGGAUCACUCUCGCUGCAGAAAUGAGUCAUGCCACAGAGCCUGGCUGCUGUGGCAUCAUAUGGAAACUGUAGCAAAACUCAAGGGCCGCUAUGGAGUGAAGGAGAGCUUGGCUGAUGGCCAGGAAAAGGUGCAGAGGAUGCCAGACUCCUAAUAAAGAGGCUUCACAAUCAAGCCUCUUGCUAUAA